ACUUUACAAUGCUGGCAACAGCGAUAAGGGAACCUCGAGUGCCAGGUUACAAAUCUGGCUGUCGAGAUGCCUAAAAAGCAUUUCAUAGCAAGGGCCGGGCAAGACCGGCGCCAGCCGCCGCGGUAACACCGGCGGCUCGAGUGGUAACCGCUAUUAUUGGGUCUAAAGGGUCUGUAGCCGGCCGGAUAAGUCUCUUGAGAAAUCUGGCAGCUUAACUGUCAGGCUUUCAGGAAAUACUGUCUGGCUCGAGGCCGGGAGAGGUGAGAGGAACUUCGGGGGUAGGGGUAAAAUCUUGUAAUCGUUAGAGGACCACCAGUGGCGAAGGAGUCUCACCAGAACGGACCUGACGGCAAGGGACGAAAG
rnacentral:rRNA from 1 species